GAUGAACGCUGGCGGCGUGCCUAAUACAUGCAAGUCGAGCGAACAGACGAGGAGCUUGUUCCUAUGAUGUUAGCGGCGGACGGGUGAGUAACACGUGGAUAACCUACCUAUAAGACUGGGAUAACUUCGGGAAACCGGAGCUAAUACCGGAUAACAUGUUGAACCGCAUGGUUCAAGAGUGAAAGACGCUCUUGCUGCACCUUAUAGAUGGCUCCGCGCCGCUUUAGUUAGUUGGUAAGGUAACGCCUUACCAAGGCAACGAUGCGUAGCCGACCUGAGAGGGGGAUCGGCCACACGGGAACGGGGACACGGUCCAGACUCCAACGGGAGGCAGCAGUAGGGAAUCUUCCGCAAUGGGCGAAGGCCUGACGGAGCAACGCCGCGUGAGGGAAGAGGGUCUUCGGAUCGUAAAACUCUUUUGUUGGGGAAGAACAAAUGUGGAAUUAACUAUGCACGUCUUGACGGUACCUAAUCAGAAAGCCACGGCUAACUACGUG
rnacentral:rRNA from 1 species